rnacentral:rRNA from 1 species
UACGUAGGGCGCAAGCGUUGUCCGGAAUUAUUGGGCGUAAAGAGCUCGUAGGUGGUUUGUUACGUCCGCUGUGAAAACCUAGGGCUUAACCCUGGGCCUGCAGUGGAUACGGGCAGACUAGAGUGUGGUAGGGGAGACUGGAAUUCCUGGUGUAGCGGUGAAAUGCGCAGAUAUCAGGAGGAACACCGGUGGCGAAGGCGGGUCUCUGGGCAGUAACUGACGCUGAGGAGCGAAAGCGUGGGGAGCGAACAGG